UGAACAUAUGAUGUGAGAUUAUUACUGUC
rnacentral:sRNA from 1 species